GGGGGUUUAGCUCAGUUGGUAGAGCGUUCGCUUUGCAUGCGAAAUGUCGCGUGUUCGACUCAUGCAGUCUCCA
rnacentral:tRNA from 1 species